rnacentral:rRNA from 1 species
UUAAAUUGAAGAGUUUGAUCAUGGCUCAGAUUGAACGCUGGCGGCAGGCCUAACACAUGCAAGUCGAACGGUAACAGGAAGAAGCUUGCUGCUUUGCUGACGAGUGGCGGACGGGUGAGUAAUGUCUGGGAAACUGCCUGAUGGAGGGGGAUAACUACUGGAAACGGUAGCUAAUACCGCAUAACGUCGCAAGACCAAAGAGGGGGACCUUCGGGCCUCUUGCCAUCGGAUGUGCCCAGAUGGGAUUAGCUAGUAGGUGGGGUAACGGCUCACCUAGGCGACGAUCCCUAGCUGGUCUGAGAGGAUGACCAGCCACACUGGAACUGAGACACGGUCCAGACUCCUACGGGAGGCAGCAGUGGGGAAUAUUGCACAAUGGGCGCAAGCCUGAUGCAGCCAUGCCGCGUGUAUGAAGAAGGCCUUCGGGUUGUAAAGUACUUUCAGCGGGGAGGAAGGGAGUAAAGUUAAUACCUUUGCUCAUUGACGUUACCCGCAGAAGAAGCACCGGCUAACUCCGUGCCAGCAGCCGCGGUAAUACGGAGGGUGCAAGCGUUAAUCGGAAUUACUGGGCGUAAAGCGCACGCAGGCGGUUUGUUAAGUCAGAUGUGAAAUCCCCGGGCUCAACCUGGGAACUGCAUCUGAUACUGGCAAGCUUGAGUCUCGUAGAGGGGGGUAGAAUUCCAGGUGUAGCGGUGAAAUGCGUAGAGAUCUGGAGGAAUACCGGUGGCGAAGGCGGCCCCCUGGACGAAGACUGACGCUCAGGUGCGAAAGCGUGGGGAGCAAACAGGAUUAGAUACCCUGGUAGUCCACGCCGUAAACGAUGUCGACUUGGAGGUUGUGCCCUUGAGGCGUGGCUUCCGGAGCUAACGCGUUAAGUCGACCGCCUGGGGAGUACGGCCGCAAGGUUAAAACUCAAAUGAAUUGACGGGGGCCCGCACAAGCGGUGGAGCAUGUGGUUUAAUUCGAUGCAACGCGAAGAACCUUACCUGGUCUUGACAUCCACGGAAGUUUUCAGAGAUGAGAAUGUGCCUUCGGGAACCGUGAGACAGGUGCUGCAUGGCUGUCGUCAGCUCGUGUUGUGAAAUGUUGGGUUAAGUCCCGCAACGAGCGCAACCCUUAUCCUUUGUUGCCAGCGGUCCGGCCGGGAACUCAAAGGAGACUGCCAGUGAUAAACUGGAGGAAGGUGGGGAUGACGUCAAGUCAUCAUGGCCCUUACGACCAGGGCUACACACGUGCUACAAUGGCGCAUACAAAGAGAAGCGACCUCGCGAGAGCAAGCGGACCUCAUAAAGUGCGUCGUAGUCCGGAUUGGAGUCUGCAACUCGACUCCAUGAAGUCGGAAUCGCUAGUAAUCGUGGAUCAGAAUGCCACGGUGAAUACGUUCCCGGGCCUUGUACACACCGCCCGUCACACCAUGGGAGUGGGUUGCAAAAGAAGUAGGUAGCUUAACCUUCGGGAGGGCGCUUACCACUUUGUGAUUCAUGACUGGGGUGAAGUCGUAACAAGGUAACCGUAGGGGAACCUGCGGUUGGAUCACCUCCUUACCUUAAAGAAGC